CAUGGCUCAGGAUGAACGCUAGCUACAGGCUUAACACAUGCAAGUCGAGGGGAAACGACAUCGAAAGCUUGCUUUUGAUGGGCGUCGACCGGCGCACGGGUGAGUAACGCGUAUCCAACCUGCCCACCACUUGGGGAUAACCUUGCGAAAGUAAGACUAAUACCCAAUGAUAUCUCUAGAAGACAUCUGAAAGAGAUUAAAGAUUUAUCGGUGAUGGAUGGGGAUGCGUCUGAUUAGCUUGUUGGCGGGGUAACGGCCCACCAAGGCUACGAUCAGUAGGGGUUCUGAGAGGAAGGUCCCCCACAUUGGAACUGAGACACGGUCCAAACUCCUACGGGAGGCAGCAGUGAGGAAUAUUGGUCAAUGGACGAGAGUCUGAACCAGCCAAGUAGCGUGCAGGAUGACGGCCCUAUGGGUUGUAAACUGCUUUUAUAAGGGAAUAAAGUGAGUCUCGUGAGGCUUUUUGCAUGUACCUUAUGAAUAAGGACCGGCUAAUUCCGUGCCAGCAGCCGCGGUAAUACGGAAGGUCCGGGCGUUAUCCGGAUUUAUUGGGUUUAAAGGGAGCGUAGGCCGGAGAUUAAGCGUGUUGUGAAAUGUAGACGCUCAACGUCUGCACUGCAGCGCGAACUGGUUUCCUUGAGUACGCACAAAGUGGGCGGAAUUCGUGGUGUAGCGGUGAAAUGCUCAGAUAUCACGAAGAACUCCGAUUGCGAAGGCAGCUCACUGGAGCGCAACUGACGCUGAAGCUCGGAAGUGCGGGUAUCGAGCAGGAUUAGAUACCCUGGUAGUCCGCACGGUAAACGAUGGAUGCCCGCUGUUGGUCUGAACAGGUCAGCGGCCAAGCGAAAGCAUUAAGCAUCCCACCUGGGGAGUACGCCGGCAACGGUGCAACUCAAAUGAAUUGACGGA
rnacentral:rRNA from 1 species